UACGUAGGGUGCGAGCGUUGUCCGGAAUUAUUGGGCGUAAAGAGCUCGUAGGCGGUCUGUCGCGUCGGUCGUGAAAACUUGGGGCUUAACCCUGAGCUUGCGGUCGAUACGGGCAUGACUGGAGUUCGGCAGGGGAGACUGGAAUUCCUGGUGUAGCGGUGAAAUGCGCAGAUAUCAGGAAGAACACCCGUGGCUAAGGCGGCUCUCUAGUACGGUACUGACGCUGAGACGCGAAAGCGUGGGGAGCGAACAGG
rnacentral:rRNA from 1 species